UACCGGCUCAAGUUACGAGAUAUCAAACAAACACAUAGUACAGCACAGAAGCAGAUGACAUAACAUAGAUACUGCAGCCAUAAGGAAUAUAAAACAGAGUAAAGCAGGGAUGCAGGAAUAUAAAGCAGAGGAAAGCACACAGAUUCGUAACAAACAUAGAACACGGAACACGGAACAGAACAUUGAAUACGGAAUCAUACCAGGAAUACACCCCCACCAAUUACCUCCCUACAUUAGCGACCCGAACAGGCCCUAAUCCUCUGCCGUAAUUCGCGUCUUCCAGACCUUCCUAUCUAGGGUCAUGUCCUCGGUAAGCUGUAACUGUUCCAUGUCCCGCCUAAUCACCUCACCCC
rnacentral:lncRNA from 1 species